rnacentral:rRNA from 1 species
AACGCGUAUGCAAUCUGCCUUGUACUGGAGUAUAGCCCAGGGAAACUUGGAUUAAUCCUCCAUAGUAUAUAGAAGUGGCAUCACUUUUAUAUUAAAGGUUACGGUACAAGAUGAGCAUGCGUCCUAUUAGCUAGUAGGUGUGGUAACGGCACACCUAGGCUACGAUAGGUAGGGGUCCUGAGAGGGAGAUCCCCCACACUGGUACUGAGACACGGACCAGACUCCUACGGGAGGCAGCAGUGAGGAAUAUUGGACAAUGGGCGAAAGCCUGAUCCAGCCAUGCCGCGUGCAGGAAGACGGCCCUAUGGGUUGUAAACUGCUUUUAUACGGGAAGAAUAAGGUCUACGUGUAGACUGAUGACGGUACCGUAAGAAUAAGCACCGGCUAACUCCGUGCCAGCAGCCGCGGUAAUACGGAGGGUGCAAGCGUUAUCCGGAAUCAUUGGGUUUAAAGGGUCCGUAGGUGGACUGAUAAGUCAGUGGUGAAAGUCUGCAGCUUAACUGUAGAAUUGCCAUUGAUACUGUUAGUCUUGAAUUGUUGUGAAGUAACUAGAAUAUGUUGUGUAGCGGUGAAAUGCAUAGAUAUUACAUAGAAUACCGAUU